rnacentral:tRNA from 1 species
UCCCGUGUGUCUCAGUUGGUAGAGCAUGGUGUUUGCAACGCCAGGGUUGUGGGUUCAAUUCCCACAGGGGAC